UGAGUUGGUGCUAAAGAAACCUUUCUUAUUAUUAUCAAUGUUAUUUCUUUCUAUUAUUAAUGAAUUGUAAAAUAAUUGUACUGCUUAAUAUUUUGGUGGAAAUUUGUCUAAAUAUUUUGUUAUAAAAAAGACAUUGGACAUUAUAUGUCUUUACUGUCACCUUAAAAAAAAAAAAAAAAAAAAUUGUGCCCUAACUGGAUGCACACACAGUUUCAUCAUCACACUGUACAAACUGUACAUACUGAUAGGGAUCUAGUUUAGUUCCAUAAAGCUUGCCUCUUUUUUUCAGGUUGAUUAAAGAUCCCAUGUUGAUUUCAUUCAGAGUCACCCUGAAUAGCGGACAUAAAGCCAAGCCAGCAGCUCAUCAAACGCGCCACACGAUACCCACAUUAAAGCAAGGACAGAGGUGGACUCACAACAGGGCUGGUCACAGUAAGAGAUCCUCUUCAAACAUCAAAGUGUGUUAAUCACUUGUGUUAAAUCUGCUCGAGCCUGUAUGAGGGGUGGAAGUGAGGCUAUACUGACAUUGCAAGAUCUAUUAUGGCAGGUAAAUGUGUCUUAACGGCAGGAAGAGAGGAGGCGAAGUAUAGGAAAUCAACAUAGAGAGCUUGUCUCACUGUUAUGGAUCCUCUAUGGAUCUAAUCUCAUUUAAUCUAAUGAAUCCUGUCUAAUUAUUAAAUUUGACAUCUGAACAAACAACAUCAUACAUUUAUCUGAACAGAGAAACAUGCACACAGAAGAUUUCUGUGUGUCUGUCUGUCUACAUGUCUGUUUACAUCUGUUUACAAUCUUAUCUUAUAUGUGUGUGUGUGUGUGUGUGUGUGUGUGUGUGUGUGUGUAAUUGCAUUAAUGACUUAACUAUUCCGGCUGCUUAACAAUUCCAUUAAUGAUUAUUUUUGCACUUUUGAGGAGAAGCACCUGUAAAUUCUGUGCCUCAGCAAAAAAUGUCAUUAAAACAGUAUUAAAAAAUGCAACCUGUUCUAAAUAAGAAAUGGUUCCAGAUACACAACCCUAGAUAUAGCUGAUAACAAUAAGCAUUAUAUAGCAUUAUUAAUAUUUUUAUGAAGCACUGAGUAUCUCUGUAUUAUGCAUUACAUAUAGAAAGAGUUUCAUAGAAAGUGUUACUGAACAUACUGCUGACUUCAUUUGAUUAAUAGUAAUACCAUAAACAGACACAUGAUUUCACAGCGGGCAGAAAAUAUAAUAAAUAAAUAAAUAUCUGUGAGCGAAAGUGUCUUUGUGUGGAGCUACCCAGUUCCCAUCUCAAAUGAACAUGUGCUCUCUCUGCACAGAUGACACUCAAAAUGCAUUACAACCAUUAAUGAAAAAGUUAAUGGGCCAUUUUCUUACAUAUCAAUUUACAUUUUACAAUUUGGGUACACAAAUGAUGUCUGCUACGGCGGGUCCUUAAUAUUUUGCUCAAGGAAACAGUUCUAAUGUCUUUUGUGGACAUCAAAUGUAGUGAAUAAUGAUGCGUCCAUCGCAUGCAAAUAAGAUGACAGUUGGAAUGGGCUGAUCAACGGUGCUCGCAUAAAGAGGUUACAGACUGCCGUGUACCGCGCUCAGUUUCAAAAAUGUCAUCUACCAUAUCGCAGUGUGUCCAUGUUUGCUACACAAACCAAUACGCUCAAUUACGAUCAGCUCCCUUGUGUGCAACUAGCAAAUUAUACAUCACAAAGUAUCCCAAUUUUCACACUCUGCUGUAUUGAAUUUCAUAAAACAUGCAGACUUAAUGCAAGCAGUCCA
rnacentral:lncRNA from 12 species